rfam:TPA: Bos taurus chromosome 5, whole genome shotgun sequence.
UCCCUGGUGGCUCAGAUAGGAAAGCGUCUGCCUGCAAUGCGGGAGACCCAGGUUAGAUCCCUGGGUUGGGAA